GACUGGGCCUGAGGCCCAAGGGAAACUCAUACACGUGCUCAAGAAAGUUUAGGUCAUUCAAUUCAAAAGACAACGUCUUUCCAAGCUUCAUUGAUCUCCCUCCGUCUCCGCCGUGCCGGCAUAUCCUCCGACGGCGGGGGAGGUCGUAUCAUCACCAUUUCUUCGAUCUAUACCUAAUUAUAGAGUUAAUUUGUCCUAAAUAUCAGCCAAUCCUCCUAAUCGAGGCUUCUAGUAGAAGAAUAAAUACCUCCGAAAUGGAGGCUUAUUCCAGCGAUAUGCUGGAUUGAAGAAGACGAAUCAGGAAGGCUUCGAAUCAGGAAUCAAAUACCAAGAAUGGCAUGAUCAAGGCAAGUGGAAAUCAUCAAGAUGAAGGAUGAAGAUGUGAUGAAGAUGAAUCACAAAUGGGAACUAGGGUUUUAAAAUUAGGUGGUGUUGACUUUGACCAACAGUUGACCAAAUUGUCAACAGUUGACUAAAAAGUCAACCUUACCAAAAUCUGUAUUUUUUUUGUAAAUUUUUGUGUGAAUAAUGUAAAAUGUUUUAUAUGAAUGUAAUGGUCAAUUUUGAAUUAAAA